GGACGGUAGCACAGAGGAGCUUGCUCCUUGGGUGACGAGUGGCGGACGGGUGAGUAAUGUCUGGGGAUCUGCCCGAUAGAGGGGGAUAACCACUGGAAACGGUGGCUAAUACCGCAUAACGUCGCAAGACCAAAGAGGGGGACCUUCGGGCCUCUCACUAUCGGAUGAACCCAGAUGGGAUUAGCUAGUAGGCGGGGUAAUGGCCCACCUAGGCGACGAUCCCUAGCUGGUCUGAGAGGAUGACCAGCCACACUGGAACUGAGACACGGUCCAGACUCCUACGGGAGGCAGCAGUGGGGAAUAUUGCACAAUGGGCGCAAGCCUGAUGCAGCCAUGCCGCGUGUAUGAAGAAGGCCUUCGGGUUGUAAAGUACUUUCAGCGGGGAGGAAGGCGAUGGGGUUAAUAACCCUGUCGAUUGACGUUACCCGCAGAAGAAGCACCGGCUAACUCCGUGCCAGCAGCCGUGGUAAUACGGAGGGUGCAAGCGUUAAUCGGAAUUACUGGGCGUAAAGCGCACGCAGGCGGUCUGUUAAGUCAGAUGUGAAAUCCCCGGGCUUAACCUGGGAACUGCAUUUGAAACUGGCAGGCUUGAGUCUUGUAGAGGGGGGUAGAAUUCCAGGUGUAGCGGUGAAAUGCGUAGAGAUCUGGAGGAAUACCGGUGGCGAAGGCGGCCCCCUGGACAAAGACUGACGCUCAGGUGCGAAAGCGUGGGGAGCAAACAGGAUUAGAUACCCUGGUAGUCCACGCCGUAAACGAUGUCGACUUGGAGGUUGUGCCCUUGAGGCGUGGCUUCCGGAGCUAACGCGUUAAGUCGACCGCCUGGGGAGUACGGCCGCAAGGUUAAAACUCAAAUGAAUUGACGGGGGCCCGCACAAGCGGUGGAGCAUGUGGUUUAAUUCGAUGCAACGCGAAGAACCUUACCUGGCCUUGACAUCCACGGAAUUUGGCAGAGAUGCCUUAGUGCCUUCGGGAACCGUGAGACAGGUGCUGCAUGGCUGUCGUCAGCUCGUGUUGUGAAAUGUU
rnacentral:rRNA from 1 species